GGGUUGUGAGGUUAAGCGACUAAGCGUACACGGUGGAUGCCCUGGCAGUCAGAGGCGAUGAAGGACGUGCUAAUCUGCGAAAAGCGUCGGUAAGGUGAUAUGAACCGUUACAGCCGGCGAUGUCCGAAUGGGGAAACCCAGUGUGAUUCGUCACACUAUCGUUAACUGAAUACAUAGGUUAACGAGGCGAACCGGGGGAACUGAAACAUCUAAGUACCCCGAGGAAAAGAAAUCAACCGAGAUUCCCCCAGUAGCGGCGAGCGAACGGGGAGCAGCCCAGAGUCUGAAUCAGCUUGUGUGUUAGUGGAACGGUCUGGAAAGUCCGACGGUACAGGGUGAUAGUCCCGUACACCAAAAUGCACAGGCUGUGAACUCGAAGAGUAGGGCGGGACACGUGGUAUCCUGUCUGAAUAUGGGGGGACCAUCCUCCAAGGCUAAAUACUCCUGACUGACCGAUAGUGAACCAGUACCGUGAGGGAAAGGCGAAAAGAACCCCGGCGAGGGGAGUGAAAAAGAACCUGAAACCGUGUACGUACAAGCAGUGGGAGCACCUUCGGGUGUGACUGCGUACCUUUUGUAUAAUGGGUCAGCGACUUAUAUUCUGUAGCAAGGUUAACCGUAUAGGGGAGCCGCAGGGAAACCGAGUCUUAACUGGGCGUUAAGUUGCAGGGUAUAGACCCGAAACCCGGUGAUCUAGCCAUGGGCAGGUUGAAGGUUGGGUAACACUAACUGGAGGACCGAACCGACUAAUGUUGAAAAAUUAGCGGAUGACUUGUGGCUGGGGGUGAAAGGCCAAUCAAACCGGGAGAUAGCUGGUUCUCCCCGAAAGCUAUUUAGGUAGCGCCUCGUGAAUUCAUCUUCGGGGGUAGAGCACUGUUUCGGCUAGGGGGUCAUCCCGACUUACCAACCCGAUGCAAACUACGAAUACCGAAGAAUGUUAUCACGGGAGACACACGGCGGGUGCUAACGUCCGUCGUGAAGAGGGAAACAACCCAGACCGCCAGCUAAGGUCCCAAAGUCACAGUUAAGUGGGAAACGAUGUGGGAAGGCACAGACAGCCAGGAUGUUGGCUUAGAAGCAGCCAUCAUUUAAAGAAAGCGUAAUAGCUCACUGGUCGAGUCGGCCUGCGCGGAAGAUGUAACGGGGCUAAACUGUGCACCGAAGCUGCGGCAGCGACACUAUGUGUUGUUGGGUAGGGGAGCGUUCUGUAAGCCUGCGAAGGUGGCCUGUGAGGGUUGCUGGAGGUAUCAGAAGUGCGAAUGCUGACAUAAGUAACGAUAAUGCGGGUGAAAAGCCCGCACGCCGGAAGACCAAGGGUUCCUGUCCAACGUUAAUCGGGGCAGGGUGAGUCGACCCCUAAGGCGAGGCCGAAAGGCGUAGUCGAUGGGAAACAGGUUAAUAUUCCUGUACUUGGUGUUACUGCGAAGGGGGACGGAGAAGGCUAUGUUAGCCGGGCGACGGUUGUCCCGGUUUAAGCAUGUAGGCGGAGGUUCCAGGUAAAUCCGGUACCUUUUUAACGCUGAGGUGUGAUGACGAGGCACUACGGUGCUGAAGUAACAAAUGCCCUGCUUCCAGGAAAAGCCUCUAAGCAUCAGGUAACAUUGAAUCGUACCCCAAACCGACACAGGUGGUCAGGUAGAGAAUACCAAGGCGCUUGAGAGAACUCGGGUGAAGGAACUAGGCAAAAUGGUGCCGUAACUUCGGGAGAAGGCACGCUGAUAUGUAGGUGAAGCCCCUGCGGGUGGAGCUGAAAUCAGUCGAAGAUACCAGCUGGCUGCAACUGUUUAUUAAAAACACAGCACUGUGCAAACACGAAAGUGGACGUAUACGGUGUGACGCCUGCCCGGUGCCGGAAGGUUAAUUGAUGGGGUUAUCCGUAAGGAGAAGCUCUUGAUCGAAGCCCCGGUAAACGGCGGCCGUAACUAUAACGGUCCUAAGGUAGCGAAAUUCCUUGUCGGGUAAGUUCCGACCUGCACGAAUGGCGUAAUGAUGGCCAGGCUGUCUCCACCCGAGACUCAGUGAAAUUGAACUCGCUGUGAAGAUGCAGUGUACCCGCGGCAAGACGGAAAGACCCCGUGAACCUUUACUAUAGCUUGACACUGAACAUUGAGCCUUGAUGUGUAGGAUAGGUGGGAGGCUUUGAAGCGUGGACGCCAGUCUGCGUGGAGCCAACCUUGAAAUACCACCCUUUAAUGUUUGAUGUUCUAACGUUGGCCCCUUAUCGGGGUUGCGGACAGUGUCUGGUGGGUAGUUUGACUGGGGCGGUCUCCUCCCAAAGAGUAACGGAGGAGCACGAAGGUUAGCUAAUCCUGGUCGGACAUCAGGAGGUUAGUGCAAUGGCAUAAGCUAGCUUGACUGCGAGCGUGACGGCGCGAGCAGGUGCGAAAGCAGGUCAUAGUGAUCCGGUGGUUCUGAAUGGAAGGGCCAUCGCUCAACGGAUAAAAGGUACUCCGGGGAUAACAGGCUGAUACCGCCCAAGAGUUCAUAUCGACGGCGGUGUUUGGCACCUCGAUGUCGGCUCAUCACAUCCUGGGGCUGAAGUAGGUCCCAAGGGUAUGGCUGUUCGCCAUUUAAAGUGGUACGCGAGCUGGGUUUAGAACGUCGUGAGACAGUUCGGUCCCUAUCUGCCGUGGGCGCUGGAGAAUUGAGGGGGGCUGCUCCUAGUACGAGAGGACCGGAGUGGACGCAUCACUGGUGUUCGGGUUGUCAUGCCAAUGGCAUUGCCCGGUAGCUAAAUGCGGAAGAGAUAAGUGCUGAAAGCAUCUAAGCACGAAACUUGCCCCGAGAUGAGUUCUCCCUGAGACUUUAAGUCUCCUGAAGGAACGUUAAAGACGAUGACGUUGAUAGGUCGGGUGUGUAAGCGUAGCGAUACGUUGAGCUAACCGAUACUAAUGAACCGUGAGGCUUAACCUUACAACGCCGAAGGUGUUU
rnacentral:rRNA from 1 species